GAAAUGUUUAUAGAGGUUGUUAUGAAUUUACUCAUUGCUGUAGCAAUUUUAUAUGAAUUCCUGAUUUAAAUAGGAAGGGUGCACUCUGCAUGAAUUUCAAAAGAGAAUUGGGUUAAUAUUCCCGAACAGGGACAUGGUGGUGGAUGACAAUGUUAGGAAAUCUGGAGAUGUCAUUGGGGGCCUGGGAAGAGUUAUAUUUUCUUUUUAACGACUUUCCCACCCUGAAAUCGGUUCAACCGGAGAUAGGGUCCAACGUCUGGAAGAGCACCACACAUCUUGUGGUGUUUGGUGCCCCCUCGCUGGCUAUUGAAAAUAUGGAGAACCGAGUACCAUUCAUGCCUGAUUGUACUCAUAUAUGCCUCGGAUUU
rnacentral:ncRNA from 1 species